CAAAACACCCAGCCUUCCUGCCUCUGGCCUCAGUGCUUAGCUCUCCCUGGUCCGCGGAGCUUCUCCUGGCGAGUUGGGAGCUAUCCCCUACCCCCAGCUCCUACUUUCCUCAUCCCUCACUACACCAGAGGAUCCGGAGAGCUCCUCCUUGUAAUAAAGAGGAAAAAAAGAAAGAGAGGAAAGAGAGCAAUUCAGCAAAACUAAUCAACACCCAUUGUUCCCCACCACUGCAAAGAACGGAGGGAGGUGCGUUUUCUCACCUCUUCGAGGUUGAGGUCUCUCCCAUAUCUGUGUUCCAAGGUCACUCUCCAUGCUGCCCUUGUGUUUGAAGACUCCUUCAUUUAUCACUGUAUGGGCUGAGCUUCCCGCCCCCUCCAGCUCAGAAGUUCGGUAUUAUCAACUCCCCUGGAGCCCUCCUAUUCUCCAUCCUCAGAUCUCUUCGCCCUCCGACAUUGUUUAAGGCCCGAUGCUGUGUUCUUCUGAGACUGUGCCUUCUGUGGCAU